GAUUAACGCUGGCGGCGUGCAUAACACAUGCAAGUCGAACGAUGAAACUUAAAUGAUUUCUUCGGAAUGAACUUAAGUGGAUUAUUGGCGGACGGGUGAUUAACGCGUGAGUAACCUGCCUUACACAAGGGGAUAGCCGUUGGAAACGACGAAUAAUACCCUAUGAUGUUUCUCUCUCGCAUGAGAUAUUAUCCAAAGUGUUAGCGGUUUAAGAUGGACUUCCGUCUGAUUAGCUAGUUGGUAAGAAAAAAGCCCACCAAGGGAACGAUCAGAAGCCGGAUUGAGAGAGUGUACGGGAACAUUGGGACAGACACCAGGCCCAGACUCCGACGGGAGGCAGCAGUGGUGAAUUAUGCACAAUGGGGGAAAGACUGAUGCAGCGACGCCGCGUGAUUUAGAAGGCAUGCGGGUUGUAAAAAUCUUUUGUAUAGGAAGAAAAUGACAGUACUAUACGAAUAAGGUACGGCUAAUUACGUG
rnacentral:rRNA from 1 species